UCUACAAUCGAUUCUUUAAAGUCCGAUGAUCCGAUCGCGUCUUGAGGGCUUGAGUUUCUGUUCGGUCCAUGUAUUUCCGAAAGGGGAAAGAAUGGCGAUGGUGAUUUCAGUUGUUCGGAGUCUUCGGACUAUGGAUUUCCGAGAGGAGGGAGACUUGUUGCUGGUUUCAGGAGAUUUAGGGCUUAAAUAGAAUGGAGGGAGAAGCACGGCGGGAGAAGGACUCGAGGGAGAAGAAUCCGUGACUCACCCAUCGACUUCUCAUUCACACACAGAGAGAGACAGAGGAGGGGAGAGAACCGGUGCUGCGUUCUCUGGUCGCCAUUUAGUUGGAACGAUUCUGAAGUUUCUUCUCUUGGAACCGUUUGUUGUUCCUGUCGCUUCUUCUGGUGCUGCUCCUGCUCCGGCUCCGGCUCCGGCUUUGCUCCAUCUCCAUGGGAGAAAGACAAAGGAGGGGAGACAACUCAGACCCACGAUAUCGUUCAUCUUCUUCGGGUUGGAUGUUCAUCUGAGAGAAUCGAAAGAAUCCCAUUCCCAUGUUUGUUCGUGGGUCUGCGUGAGUGCUCUGUUGGGAUCAACAAACCUUACCAUCGGUCAUCCUCUUCCCAUAACUUGAGGUUCCUCUCUGAAUCUCCAGUGGACCAAUUUAUUGUGAACGGUAGCUGCAGAAAUUUGACUCUAAUUCCCAUUCAUCAGUGGAAGGGAAAACUUUCAGCUCA